rnacentral:rRNA from 1 species
CAGUAGCCGCGGUAAUACGUAGGGUGCAAGCGUUGUCCGGAAUUAUUGGGCGUAAAGAGCUCGUAGGCGGUUUGUCGCGUCUGCUGUGAAAUCCCGAGGCUCAACCUCGGGCUUGCAGUGGGUACGGGCAGACUAGAGUGCGGUAGGGGAGAUUGGAAUUCCUGGUGUAGCGGUGGAAUGCGCAGAUAUCAGGAGGAACACCGAUGGCGAAGGCAGAUCUCUGGGCCGUAACUGACGCUGAGGAGCGAAAGCGUGGGGAGCGAACAGGAUUAGAUACCCGAGUAGUCCCUGUCUCUUAUAC